AUGGCCUCAGAGGAUGUUGGAGCAACGGCGCCGCGCUUAGACGGGCCGCCGAGACCACACACAAAAAAGAAAGACGAGAAAAAACACAGGAGGUGGGCUCGGGGCGCCCCCGGCUGGCCGGUUGUCGCCAUCUCAUCGACCUCAUCACUCUCUCGUCGGCUUCUUUUUGUAUAGUUCGCGUUUCUUUUA
ensembl:ncRNA T28C12.7 ncRNA